CGGCCCGGCCGGGGCGGGGAGCGGUGUAAACACUCCGGAGCGUGCACCCGCGUGCGGGGCGCGCACGUGCGUCCGCCACCCCCUGCGGGCGUGGGCCGCCCCGGGCCUCGCGCAGCCCCACGCAGGCUUCCCCGGCGCGGCUGGGCCGUCGCGGGACGGCGCUCGCUCCGGGCUCCGGCUGCAGUUUCUCGGCUCGACGUCACGUUUUAAACGCUGCGAGCCCCGGAGGCUGCUUGACAAAAAGCCAGGCGGGCAGGUUCAGAGAAAUAAAACGUCUUCCACGGACAGAAAUGUAUCCGCGUGGACGUUGUGUGUGCUCAGGAGAUAAAGAUGGAAACGCUACUAAGCUGCCUCCCAUUUAAAAUAUAUAUAUUCCUUGCAAACGGGGCGACGCCGGGCUGCUCCGCACCGGCUUUGCGCUGUGGGUUGACGUGCGGGAGUGGGUAAUAGCAGACAUGGGAAAACAGAGCUGUGCAGCGGUGUGGACGCUUAGGGUAGACCGUCAGCCGCCGAGCCCUGCUCGGAACCCGGAAUCCCCGCGCUCGAGCCUGUGAUCACUGCUUCCCAUUCUGGACAACAGUUUCACUGCUCGGCAAAAAGAAUACACUUGUUCCCAGAGGUGGCCCGUCCCCUCUCCGGCCACGCAGUAGCCAGGUUAUUAACAUUGAACUGGGCUUCGAGUCCGGAUCAAACUUUGGCUGGUUUCAGAGCAGAUUGCAGCUGUAAGCGUGUUUUAUUCUGAGGCCUUUUGAGCUUUGCUAUAUGCACAGUCAAAGGAAACUUGGAGAAAGGAAGAAAGCUGGCGUGAUAAGAUACCUGUGGAGGCCAAAGAGUGUCCAACCCUCUACAACUGGAGUUACAGGCAACUGUGAGCUGCCAGUUGGGUACUGAAAAUCAACUCCAGCCCUCUCUGCAAGAACAGCAAGUGCUCUUAACUGCUAAGCCAUCUCUCCAGCACCUUGACCUGGCUUUUAAAUAUAAACUUUUCAACUGCUCUUCAGUGAAAGUAUGAAAACUAUGCCCACCAUUCUAUCAUAACCCAUGCUUCUGCAGUUUCAAUUUCUGUUUCUCCCAGGGACAACUGCCAAUGAACAUGAAAAAUGGAUGGCAUUGUGACUUCCCUCCAACCUGAACUGGCACAUUCAUCCUCCCACCAGGCACUGUCCCUCACACCGAUCAAAGGCUGAUCACAGUGAUUACUCAACAAGUAUUUGUUAGACCAUCAACGUCAUUAAUUCACCAAAUCCAGCAGGAAUAACGGAGAAAGACAGAGGGAGUUUUCUUUUUUUUUUUUUUUUUUUGGUUUUUUGAGACAGGGUUUCUCUGUAUAGCCUUGGCUGUCCUAGACUCAUUCUGUAGAGCAGGCUAGCCUUGGAUUCACACAGAUCCUCCUGCCUCUGCCUCCCUGAGUACUGGGAUUAAAGGCUGGCACUACCACACUCAGCUUUCACUUCUUUCUUUUCAGUAGUUUUUGUUUUGUUUUGUUUUGUUUGUGGUUGUAUUGCUAUUUUGAGACAGGAUUUUUGGCUAGCCUGGAACUCACUAUGUAGACCAGGCUAGCUUUGAACCCACAGAGAUCUUCCAGCCUCUAUCUCCCAAGUGACUGGCUUUGUAAAUUUUUGUUUUGUUUUUUAAACAGAGUCUCACUAUGUAGCCUAGGCUGACCUGGAACUCACUCUGUAGCCCAAGCUGGCUUUAAAAAGUGAUCUUGAGCCAGGUGCAGUGACACAUGUCUGUAAUCCCAGCACUCUAGAAGGCAGAGGUAGGUGGAUCUCUAUGAGUUUGAGGCCAGCCUGGUCUAUAAAUGAGUCUAGGACAGCCAAGACUACGCAGGGAAACCCUGAAAAAAAAAAAUGGAGAUUUGUUUUUAUUUGCUUCUCAAAUGAAGGGAUUGAGGGUAUGGACCACCAGCAUCCAGGAGAGUGGGCCCCCUGCCUCCCUUGAGGAGCAGAGUAGAGCUGGCCCUGGUGGUAUGGAUGCAAUGAGCUGGUUUCAAGGACAUGAGAGUGGGAGAGCUGGCCCUUACUGACUGAGGCAUUGGGUGAGCUAGUCUGGGCAGUGCUGGAGAGCUGGCCCUGGUUGGGUGGGUGAAAGAAAGCUGGUAGGCUGACCAACUCAGCUACUCAGAUCCAGGGCUUUGAGAUGGCCCACCCCAAUAUCUACUUCAUCUAUGAACUGUUGGAGCACACGAAGGGCCUGGUCUGCAGAGCCAAAGCUGUGGGAUCUCUGGGACUCUGAGAGGAGUCCCGAUGAGGAUCCAGAAUUGAUACUGUAGCAGAAGCAAGAGGCCUGGAACCAGACCAGUGACUCAUUGCAGUGAACAUUUGCAAGUAAAGAUAUGUGGACAAAAGGGUAUUUUUGUGGAACACACUGUGACACAGCUUCCAUGAUGAUAUUUUGAUAUGGUUUGGUUUUUUGUUUGUUUUUGUUUUGUUUCUUUUGGAGGUGAGGUUGCAAGAGCAGAAGGCAGAUACAAAGAAGCAGAGAGAGGGGUGGGAUUGGGGUGCAUGGGGUGAA